UACAGAGGUCUCAAGCGUUGUUCGGAUUCAUUGGGCGUAAAGGGUGCGUAGGUGGCGCCAUAAGUCAGGUGUGAAAUCUCGGGGCUUAACUCCGAAACUGCAUUUGAUACUGUGGUGCUUGAGGACUGGAGAGGAGACUGGAAUUUACGGUGUAGCAGUGAAAUGCGUAGAGAUCGUAAGGAAGACCAGUGGCGAAGGCGGGUCUCUGGACAGUUCCUGACGCUGAGGCACGAAGGCCAGGGGAGCAAACGGG
rnacentral:rRNA from 1 species